rnacentral:rRNA from 1 species
CCUACGGGAGGCUGCAGUGGGGAAUAUUGCACAAUGGGCGAAAGCCUGAUGCAGCAACGCCGCGUGAGCGAUGAAGGCCUUCGGGUCGUAAAGCUCUGUCCUCAAGGAAGAUAAUGACGGUACUCGAGGACGCAGCCCCGGCUAACUACGUGCCAGCAGCCGCGGUAAUACGUAGGGGGCUAGCGUUAUCCGGAAUUACUGGGCGUAAAGGGUGCGUAGGUGGUUUCUUAAGUCAGAGGUGAAAGGCUACGGCUCAACCGUAGUAAGCCUUUGAAACUGGGAAACUUGAGUGCAGGAGAGGAGAGUGGAAAUCCUAGUGUAGCGGUGAAAUGCGUAGAUAUUAGGAGGAACACCAGUUGCGAAGGCGGCUCGCUGGACUGUAAUUGACACUGAGGCUCGAAAGUGUGGGUAUCAAACAGGAUUAGAUACCCGAGUAGUC